rnacentral:lncRNA from 1 species
GCUACUCAGGGCUUUAAAAAGAUAGAGGAGGAGAAAGCGAGGUUUUCUCAUGGUGUUGAAGCAUAUAUGUUAGAAAGCGAAAGGGUGUGUGGGGAUAUGGUUGUGAAGGGGAGGGAAGAAGCAGAUUUCGACGCUCCUUCGGUGGGCGCUCGUUCUGACAAUGAAGGAGAGCCAGAUAAUGUAGACCUAGCCGAGAUAGAGGAGAGUUGUACUCUGAUGAAAAGAGCCUAAAGUUGUACGAGAUAAUGGUUUGAGAAGAGGAAAGUGAAGAAGGUUUGAAUGUGACUCCCAUCAACUACGAGAAUCAGUUGAUUUAUACACCGAUGGCUCUAUCGGAAGAGGGAAGCUUGGAGAAGCAAUAUUUUGAUUGAGUGUGUCUUUUCAUGGUCUAAAAAACAUAAUACUCUCUCUAUUUGAAGAAAUAGAAACCAAAUUUAUGGAGGAAGGAAAGGAGAGAAAAACAGUGAAGAAAGCAAAAAGAAGCAAGG